UUUAUUGUGAUUUGUUAUGAAUGUAAUUAUUUUUUUGUUUUUGAUUUAUUUGACAUUUUUUUUGAUUUAUUGAGAUGUUGAUUAAUUUUGUUUUUAUAUAUUUUAUAGGUUGUUUGAAAGAAACUAAACAGGUAUGUUUCUGUUUUCUUUUUGGAUUCGUAUGUUUUAUUUGUUUAGAUAAUUUCGGUUUAUUUUAAUUAUAUUAAUACUGUAAACUAACAUAAAUUUUUUUAUGUAUGUAAAAAAUGUAAAUUUAUGAGAUUUUUUUAUUAUAAUUAUAUUAUUAUUGUACUAUAUUUAUC
rnacentral:lncRNA from 1 species